GAUGAAGAACGUAGCGAAAUGCGAUAAGUAAUGUGAAUUGCAGAAUUCAGUGAAUCAUCGAAUCUUUGAACGCACAUUGCGCCCCUUGGUAUUCCGGGGGGCAUGCCUGUUCGAGCGUCAUUUCAAUCCUCAAGCUCUGCUUGGUAUUGGGCUCCGUCCUCCUCGGACGCGCCUCAAAGACCUCGGCGGUGGCGUCUUGCCUCAAGCGUAGUAGAAACACCUCGCUUUGGAGUGCAUGGCGUCGCCCGCCGGACGAAACCUUUUGUAUUUUCUCAAGGUUGACCUCGGAUCAGGUAGGGAUACCCGCUGAACUUAAGCAUAUCAAUAAGCGGAGGA
rnacentral:misc_RNA from 1 species